rnacentral:rRNA from 1 species
UACGGAGGGGGCGAGCGUUGUUCGGAAUUACCGGGCGUAAAGCGCACGUAGGCGGCUUUUUAAGUCAGAGGUGAAAGCCCGGAGCUUAACUCCGGAAUUGCCUUUGAGACUGGCAGGCUUGAAUCCGGGAGAGGUGAGUGGAAUUCCGAGUGUAGAGGUGAAAUUCGUAGAUAUUCGGAAGAACACCAGUGGCGAAGG